UCUAUGGCUCCUUGUCUGUUCUUUUGGUUUUCUAUAUCCAGGGUUGUUUCCAUGUGUUCUUUCUUGAUUGGUUCUAUUUUCAUUUUUAAUUCCUUCAACUGUUUGAUUGUGUUUUCCUGGAAUUCUUUCAGGGAUUUUUGUGAUUCCUCUCUGUAGGCUUCUACUUGUUUAUUUAUGUUUUCCUAUGUUUCUGUAAGGGAGUUCUUCAUGUCUUUCUUGAAGUCCUCCAGUAUCAUGAUCAAAUAUGAAUUUGAAACUAGGUCUUGCUUUUCUAAUGUGUUUGGAUAUUCAGUGUUUGCUUUGGUGGGAGAAUUGGGCUCUGUUGUUGCCAUGUAGUCUUGGUUUUUGUUGCUUGGAUUCCUGCGUUUGCCUCUCGCCAUCAGAUUAUCUCUAGUGUUACUAGAGGACAGUGGCUAGACUGUCCUAUAAGCCUGUGUGUCAGGGGUGCUGUAGACCUGUUUUCCUGUUUUCUUUUAGCCAGUUAUGGGAACAGAGUGUUCUUCUCUCGGGCGUUUAGUUUUUCCUAUCUACAGGUCUUCAGCUGUAACACAGUUCCUGUGGGCCUGUGUCCUGAGUUCACAAGGCAGGUCUCUUGCAGCAGAAAAUUGGUCUUACCUGUGGUCCCGAGGCUCAAGUUUGCUCAUGGGGUGUUGCUUUCGAGCUCUCUGCGGUUGCAGCAACCAGGAAGAUCUGCACCGCCCUUUCCGGGGAGCUUUGGUGCACCAGGGUUCCAGAUGGCGUUCAGUGUUUUUUCUGGAGUCAGAGAUGUGGGCAGAGUGUAGUCUCUUCUGGUUUCCCAGGCGUGUCUGCCUCUCUGAAGGUUUAGCUCUCCCUCCCAUGGGAUUUGGGUGCAGAGAACUGUUUAUCUGUUCGGUCCCUUCAGGUUCCGGCGGUGUCUCAGGCGCAGGGGUCCUGCUGCUCCUGGGCCCUCCUCUACGGAAACCCAGAGGCUGUAUACAGUUUCCUCUUGGGCCAAGGAUGUGGGCAGGUGUGGGCAGUGUUGGUGGUCUCCUCCGCUCUGCAGCCUCAGGAGUGCCCACCUGAUCAGGCGGUGAGGUCUCUCUCCCACGGGGUUUGGGAGCAGAGAACUGCUGUGGGCCGGGAUCCGCGGGUUUGGGACUCCCGGUAAACACCGUAAGUGCCCAGUCCUAGAGGAAUUUUGCCUCUGUGUGUCCUGAGUUCACCAGGCAGGUGCUUGCAGCAGGAAGGUUUGUCUUACCUGUGGUCCCGAGGCUCAAGUUUGCUCGUGGGUGUUGCUUACGAGCUCUCCGUGGUGGCAGCAACCAGGAAGAUCUGCGCCGCCCUUUCUGGGGAGCUUCCGUGCACCAGGGUUCCAGAUGGCAUUUGGUGUUUUCUUCUGGAGUCAGAGAUGUGUUCGCUUGUAGUUUUCUACAGGUAGGCACUCGGUUCUCUCAGUGGUUAGGAUGCUCAGCAGCAUGGCGGAGUUCCAGCUCAGGUCCUGCCUAUAUUCUCUACCUUUUCUAUCCAAGAUUGUUUCCUUUGACUAUUUGCCACCUGAUUGAGCUGGAUAAACACACAUACACACACAUACACACACACACACACACAUACACAUACACACACACAUACAUACACACACAGACACACUCAUAUACAGAUACACACACACACACACACACACACACACACCUCUUACAUAUAUAUACAGAUCUUGCAGAUACAUAGCUUUUGCAUUGCCUGAAGAUCUUGUUUUUAUAUGGCUUUUGUAUACACAUACACAAGCAUACAGCUCAUAUACACAUAUCCCUUGCAUAUACACACACAGCUCUUGCAUAUAUACACAGAUCUUAAAUAUAUACAGUUUCUGAACCACCCCCAGAUUUUGUAUUUAUAUGGCUUUUGUAUACAUGCACAUACACACAGCUCUUUCAUACACACACGGCUCUUGAACACAUGCAAUUCCUGCUUGCAAGACAGCUCUGGGGAAAAGGAAGCUUUAUCUAUCAAGUUAUCUGUAGGUAAGUCUAUGACAUUUCUUGAUUGUUUAUUGAAUUGUUACAUGUAGGGAUCUGCGACAUGCCGCGCCUCAAAGAUUGCGCUGGUUUCCUCCUUCCACCCUCCCAAUGGUGAGCGCUCCUUGCAGUAAACAAGUCCUUAUUUGGCUAUGCCUGCCUGGCCUGCUAGCUUCCGCAUAGUGACAGCCUAUAUGCAUGACCCACGUGGCUUGCUGGGAUUGGCCAGCGCUAUCUAUUUAAGUGUGGUGCGGGGGUUUCCUGGAGUCAGAAGAUUGUAUCAAGGUUCCUGAGUAAAACUGCUUGAAGAAGAUCUUCACUGGUCGUGUCUUCCUUGCUGGUCGAGGUUGGGCGUGACAGUUAGAGCCCAGACCCUAUGUGCAGUGCCACCACUAGGUAAGAUUGUUAUACAAGAAAAGAGGUUGAGCCCCCCAUCCCCCAUUGAGUCCUGGGAGAUUCACACAUUCCAGGUCUCUGGGACUUUCUAGAUGUUCCUUCCAUACCCCAUACCCCAUACCCCACCCCCAGGGGCACCAUAUUUCCAUUAAUUCUUCUGGCCCUCUGGAUAUCUCUCUUGUCUCCCCAAUAACUGAUUUUGUCCCUCAUUUCCCUUUCUUACUCUCCUCUCUUAUCCAGGUCCCUCCUUCCUUCUGCCUCCCAUGAUUAUUUUGUUCCCUCCUCUAAGUGGGAUUGAAGCAUCCUCACAUGGACCUUCCUUUUUGUUUGACUUUUUAGGAUCUGUGAGUUGUAUCAUAUGUAUUCUAUUCCUUUGGGCUAAUAUCCACUUACCAGUGAGAAUAUACCAGGUAUAUCGAUUUGGGUCUGGGUUAGCUCAUUCAGGAUGAUAUUUUCUAGUGUAUUUGCCUAAAAAUUUAUGAUGUUCUUAUUUUUAAUUAACCAAAAUGCCCAGCAGUUGGGAGAUGGAACCUGAGGAGACCACCUACAAUAGAUAGAUAGGGUCCCCACUGGAGGGGUGGGGACACCAACCCACCUUCAAAAUUUUUUAUCCAGAAUUGUUUCUAAAAGAAAUGUAGGGAUAAAAAUAGUACAGAGGCUACAAGAAGGGCUGACCAGUGACUGGCCCAAUUUGGGAUCAAUCCCAUGGUCGGGCAUCAAACCCUGAUACUAUUACUGAUGCUAUUUUGUGCUUGCAACCAGGAGCCUAGUAUGGCUGUCCUCCAAGAGGCUCUGCUAGCAGCUGACUGAGAUGGAUGCAGAUACUUAGAGCUAACCAUUGGUCUGAGGUCAGGGACCCCUAUGGAAUAGUUAGGGGAAGGAUUGAAAGAGCUGGCAACACAAUAGGAAGACCAACAGUAUUAACUAACCUAGAAUCUUGGAAGCUCCCAGAGACUAAGUCACUAACCAAAGAGAAUACAGGAGCUGGUUCAUGGCUUCUGGUGCAUAUGUAGCAGAUGACUGCUUUGUCUGGUGUCAAUGAGAGAGGAUAUGCCUAAUCCUGUAGAGACUUGAUACCCAAAGGAAGGGGGAGUACCCUCACCAUUUCAGAAAAAAAUGGGAGGGGGAUGGAGUAAAAACUCUGGGAGGGGGUACCAGGAGCAGAGACAUUUGGGGUGUCAAUAAAUAAAAUAUGUUUUUAUUUUUUUAAAUAGGCUGGGCAAACAGGGGAGAACAAGUUAGUAGCCAGGGUGCCUCCAUGGUCUCUGCUUCAGUUCCUUCUUGAGAUCUUGCCUGACUUCCUUUCAUAAUGGACUGUAUGCUGGAACUCCCCCAAUGUUGUUUUGGGUCUUGGUAUUUAUGACAGCAACAGAAAACCAAGUAUAGACUGACUAAUAACUGAGGAUAUAGUUGUCAAGAUGACUGUGAUAAAAAUCAAAGAGGGAAUUGACAUUAUGUACAAAGUCAGGCCAGGGAUUUUGUAAGUACUUAAAUGUUUGAAGUGGAGGUUCUCAGUGGCUGUUGGACUCUUGCACUGAUUAGUAAGGGGAGAAAAGAAAGGAGGUUUGUGAGGAAAGUGCUUGGAUUUCUUAUUCAAGGAACCAGACUUAUAAUGGUGAUAUCACAAGAAUUUCAGCCAGAAUAGAGCUAUAUGUUUAAGGGGAAAGGUCACUAAUUCUAACCCCCAGCCACUUUAGUUAUUUUUUCUGAACAGACACGUAGAAGCUUAAGUAUUUUGGAAGAAGGAAGCUUCAACACUCUUGGUUUGUUUGCUUGCUUUCUGUUUGAAUAUUCUAGUUCAGAGAUACUAGAAAAAUGCAUAAAAGAGAAAUCUCCUCAGUUGAGAUUAGAGUUAAGCAGGGUUUGAAUGCUAUGAACUCUUUCCUGUCUCAUGGAUGGCAAAAUUACCAUGCCUGUCAUGUUGUGGCAUGUCACAGAGCCAGUCAACUGGCAGAGGUUUGUUCUAUUUACCAAAAGCAUUUGUAGCUUGAAAUUGAUUUGUUAACUUAAUUCAGAGGCUUUGAGGCAUGCUAGAAGUCAGAAGUAGAGGGGAAUUUGGUACCCUAGAUGAUGGGCUGGAAAUAGGGAAUUCCUCUAGGGUGGACCCUGCCACUUCUACAUACUGCCUAAGUGAUCUCAGUGCAUGUGCCUCUUCUCUCAAACUGUGAAAUGAGGGCAGCUGCAACAAUGAACUUCCCUGCUAUGCCCAUCCUCUCUAUGAGGCAUGAAGCCAGACAAUGCAGUAUCUUAGAAUUAUGGGGCCUGAGGGCUUGAAUGGAAGCAUUCUAAUACAAUCUUUCUUUCAGGAAAUGCUAAUUAUUCAACUUGAAUGAUUUGUUUUGAAUUCAUUCAAUUUUAGCUCAAUAUAUUCCUUUUGUUAAAGGAGAUAUAAAUGUGGAUUUUAUAUUAAUGUAUAUCUUUAUUAUGAUAUAUAUUUUAAUUGUCACUUUCAUAGUAAGAUACAGGCAUUAAUGUAAUAGAUUUAUUAUUGAAGACAAAAUUUCAAUGACUUUUUCAGAGUAAUUUCAUAGAAGCACCAACUUCAUUAAACUGCAAAGCUGAUCACUCUGUAGCAAAUAGAACCAAGUUGUAUGUUUAGUGAUGUCUGAAGAAUUUUGAUUAUCAGUGACUGCAGGAAAGUUCAUCAACACUCAGGAUGCCCUAAAUGGAGGCUCAUAGAGAUUCGUCAAGUAUUGAAGACUCUUUGUACUUCAGACACAGAGUCCACAGGGACCUGAGCUGAGGCUGAUUUCAAAGCUUCUUCACGGAGAUCAUCAUGUCAUUGUACAAGAUGGUGCUGUGGGAGCAUUCAGAGGAGGGAGCAAGCAAGAGUCCUACCCAGCUAUGAAGCUGAUGAGCUAUAGCAACAAUCAGAAUAAAGCUACAGUAGUGGCACAUAGUUUGGCUUUAACAACACUCGAAUAGAUCACUCAACAAAAGGUAAAUUAGCCUAGUAUUGGAGACCGGGCCAACUGUCCAGGGAUAGUGAAGGCGUAGAUCCUAGAGAAUUGUCAUUUAACUAAACCAGCAUAAUCCCAAACUAUUUUCUGAAAAUGUGUCCUUAUACUUCCAGGUAAGUAUAGUCCUCAGCCUUUAUAAAGGGAGGGUAGAGAUGAUACCAGGAAGGAAAGGGUGGGAGCUGACCGAGAGAGAUCUGGGAGAGAUAACUAGAAUCAGGAGGCAUCCUUGGAAUGAUCUAGAAGGUUAGGGAAAUGGAAACUCCCAGGAAUCUAUGAGGUUGACCCUAACUAAAACUUAUAGAAAUGGGAGGGGGAAUUCAGAGCCUGACUUGACCAUCUUUGGUAGCCAGGCAGGACUUUCAAUUGAGGUACUAGGAAACAAACAUGGCCACAAAACCUUCAACCUACAGUUUGCCCUGCUUACACAAUGGAAUUGGUAAAGAUUUUUUUCCCAAUCUGUUCGUUGCCGUUUUGUCCUAUUGACAGUGUCCAUUGCCUUUCAUGAGGUCCCAUUUGUCGAUUCUUGAUCUUAGAGCAUAAGGCAUUGGUGUUCUGUUCAGGAAAUUUUCCCCUGUGCCUACGUGUUUGAGGUUCUUCCCCACUUUCUCUUUGAUUAGUUUCAGUGUAUCUGGUUUUAUGUGAAGGUCCUUGAUCCACUUGGACUUGAGUUUUUUACAAAGAGAUAAGAAUGGAUUGAUUUGCAUUCUUCUACAUGCUGACUGCAAGUUAAACCAGCUGGAAAGAACCCAGAUGUCAGAUGCCCUUCAACAAAGGAAUGAAUGCAGAAAAUGUGGUACAUUUACACAGUAGAAUACUACUCAGCUAUUUAAAACAAUGACUUCAUGAAAUUCUUAGGCAAAUGGAUGGAACAAGAAAAUAUCAAGCUGAGUGAGGUAAUCCAGUCAAAAAAGAACACACAUGGUAUGCACUCACUGACAAGUUGUGCCCCAAAGUUCAGAAUACCCAAGAUAUAAUUCACAGAUUAUAUGAAGGUAAAGAUGAUGGAGGACCAAAAUGUGGAUGCAUCAGUUCUUCUUAGAAAGGAGAACAAAAUACUCACAGGAGGAAAUACAGGGAUGGAGAAUGGAGCAGGGACUGAAGGGAAGGCCAUCCAGAGACCGCCCUACCUGGGGAUCCAUCUGAUAUGCAGCCACCAAACCUAGUCACUGUUGAUGAUGCCAAGAAGUACUUGCUGAGAGGAGCUUGAUAUGGAUGUCUCCUGAGAGGCUCUGCCAGAUCCUUACUGAUACAGAAAGGAUGCUUAUAGUAAACCAUCAGAGUAAGCAUGGAUACCUCAAUGGAGGAGUUAGAAAAAAGACUGAAGUAGCUGAAGGGGUUUGCAACCCUAUAAGAACAACAAUAUCAACUAACUAUACCCGCCAGAGCUCCCAGGGACUAAACCACCAACCAAAGAGUACACAUGGAGGACCCAUGGCUCCAGCUGCCUAUGUAGCUGAGGACGGAAUUGUCUGGCAUCAAUAUGGCAAGAAGUCCUUGGUCUUCUGAAGGCUCAUUUCCCCAGUGUAGCAGAAU